GGAGGUUGGUGGUGGACGGAUUGCUCGCCAACCGGGUCAGAUCUGGAAAGAAGCAGCCCUAACGAGUUUUAUGCGGGUCACUAUGUCAGCCUCCUAC
rnacentral:SRP_RNA from 1 species